ACCAUAUUUUACUUCUUUAGCCCUCUUCUUUGAUUGCGUAUUUCUCUACUCCCCCUCAACAUAGCAAACAUAAAGGAUAUAUCAAUUUGCUUAUCUAGAAGAUAUUGCAAUUCAUAGUAUUUCUCAGCAUUAAUAUGAGUUAUUUUUCAUAUCUCAUAAUUAAAAUAAUUUAAUUUGGUCACAUUCAUAGACAUUCAUUGAAAGUCAAAGCGCGUGCGUGCACACACACACACACACACACACACACACACACACACACACACACA
rnacentral:lncRNA from 1 species